GAGUAUACCGCUGACCCGCUCAAGGAGUUCUGCGACCAGUCUGGCAUUCGGAGACACUUCACGGUGAAGGUGACGCCACAGCAGAAUGGGGUUGUAGAGAGGAUGAAUCGCACCCUAUUGGAGAGAGCACGGUGCAUACUGUCUAACGCUGGUUUAGGCAGGAUUUGGUGGGCUGAAGCGGUGAACAUGGCGUGCUAUCUCAUCAACCGCUCUCCAUCAUCAGCUAUC
rnacentral:misc_RNA from 1 species